rnacentral:rRNA from 1 species
AGAUUGAACGCUGGCGGCAGGCCUAACACAUGCAAGUCGAGCGGUAGAGAGGUGCUUGCAUCUCUUGAGAGCGGCGGACGGGUGAGUAAUGCCUAGGAAUCUGCCUAGUGGUGGGGGAUAACGUUCGGAAACGGACGCUAAUACCGCAUACGUCCUACGGGAGAAAGCGGGGGGACCUUCGGGCCUCGCGCCAUUAGAUGAGCCUAGGUCGGAUUAGCUAGUUGGUGAGGUAAUGGCUCACCAAGGCGACGAUCCGUAACUGGUCUGAGAGGAUGAUCAGUCACACUGGAACUGAGACACGGUCCAGACUCCUACGGGAGGCAGCAGUGGGGAAUAUUGGACAAGUGGGCGAAAGCCUGAUCCAGCCAUGCCGCGUGUGUGAAGAAGGUCUUCGGAUUGUAAAGCACUUAAGUUGGAGAAGGUUGAACUAUACGUGCAAUUUGACGUUACGAGAUAAGCACGCUACUCGUGCAGCAGUCG